AUUGAACGCUGGCGGCAGGCCUAACACAUGCAAGUCGAGCGAGCGGCGGACGGGUGAGUAAUGUAUGGGGACUGCCCGAUAGAGGGGGAUAACUACUGGAAACGGUGGCUAAUACCGCAUACUAUCGGAUAACCCAUAUGGGAUUAGCUAGUGGGUAAGGUAAUGGCUUACCUAGGCGACGAUCCCUAGCUGGUCUGAGAGGAUGAUCAGCCAAACUGGGACUGGUACACGGCCCAGACUCCUACGGGGGCAGCAGUGGGGAAUAUUGCACAAUGGGCGCAGGCCUAAUACGGCCAGGCCGGGUGUAUGAAGAAGGCCCUAGGGUUGUAAAGUACUUUCAGUCGGGAGGCGUUACCGACAGAAGAAGCACCGGCUAACUCCGUGCCAGCAGCCGCGGUAAUAC
rnacentral:rRNA from 1 species